rnacentral:lncRNA from 1 species
UUUUUUCGGUGGGUUGCGGGUGGUAGCUACUUAAAUAAUGGUAGUUGUCGGAGGUCAUGGAGGUUUAAAUAAUAGUUGAGACAGUGGACAAAAGCCAAACCUGGACAUUCUUGUCCUCGGUGGUGCCGGUGGUUAACUCCAAAGUGGUCACCAGAGCUUGCAACAUUAAUUGGAACAAGCUGUACUUGUCUUUUCAUUUUUCAGUUGCUUUUCAUUUGUACUAGAACUCCCAUCUUUUCUUGUAACAAAAUAUUUAAAAGAAGUAAAAUAG